rnacentral:rRNA from 1 species
GCUGGCGGCAUGCCUUACACAUGCAAGUCGAACGGCAGCACGGGAGCAAUCCUGGUGGCGAGUGGCGAACGGGUGAGUAAUAUAUCGGAACGUGCCCAGUCGUGGGGGAUAACGUAGCGAAAGCUACGCUAAUACCGCAUACGAUCUAUGGAUGAAAGCGGGGGAUCGCAAGACCUCGCGCGAUUGGAGCGGCCGAUAUCAGAUUAGGUAGUUGGUGGGGUAAAAGCUCACCAAGCCGACGAUCUGUAGCUGGUCUGAGAGGACGACCAGCCACACUGGGACUGAGACACGGCCCAGACUCCUACGGGAGGCAGCAGUGGGGAAUUUUGGACAAUGGGCGCAAGCCUGAUCCAGCAAUGCCGCGUGCAGGAUGAAGGCCUUCGGGUUGUAAACUGCUUUUGUACGGAGCGAAAAGGCUCUCUCUAAUACAGAGGGCUCAUGACGGUACCGUAAGAAUAAGCACCGGCUAACUACGUGCCAGCCGCCGCGGUAAUUCA